CUCAGUUCAUUAUGGGCCCUUAAUACAGGGCUGUAAAAAAACAAAGGAUGUAUAGUAUGUAUAGCACAUCUCUUUAAAGACUGUGACUUCAUUCAGAUUCAAGGCAAACUUUUUAAUCCAUACAGCUUCAUUUAGAUUUUCAAUUGUUCAAAAUAUUUUCUUCAUCAUAUCAUCAUAUUUUUUUCAUCAUCUUAACUUCAAUCUUUCCUCUUUUGUCAACUUAACUGAGCUGAUCCAAUUAUGUUUCAAACUGAAUUUUUAUAGCUAAUGACAUCAAUUUCAGUUUAAACUGUAUUUGGACACAAUUAUGGUCAGUCUUCAUCCUUCUGAAGAGACCUUUCAUUAGUCACCACAACUCAGCAAUACAUUUUAAUUAGUUCUUUGCUGAAGUUGGAUGAACUUGACUCAUAGACUUUAAUCAAAAAAGUUUAACAAUUUCAGGUAAUAGUUUUCAGGGCAAAGGUUACAGUUUAUGAGAUGUCCUAGUGCCUUAGGACACUGAGAAAAAUGUGAAUAAAUACCACGUUAUUGUCACUACUUUAUUUUUUAUUGGCUUCUUCAUUGGUUACUUUUUGUGGCUUGACACUUUUUUUCAUACUUUCAAAUAUAAUUCCUCGCUCAGUACUUUUUAAGCCUGUAAAGAAAUUACAAGUUUAUUUUUUUAUCCUCCAUGCCGACUGGUGGCGCUACUAAAAGCACCUCAACCACAGGCCCCCAUAAUCCCCCCAAGAAAAAGAUGUCCGAUUCGUUUCCUUUGUUGUGAUCGUCAAAAUACAAAUCGUGCGGUUCAUAUUUUAUAUCCCCGCUUUUAAAAUAAGAAAUCAAACAGCUGUCUUCUCUCAGUAUUGAGCAGCCGUAAAAAUGAGUGGCGGAGUGUAUGGCGGAGAUGAAGUUGGAGCUCUCGUCUUUGACAUGGGCUCAUACUCAGUGAGAGCUGGCUAUGCGAGGAGAGGACUCGUACCCGAAGGUGUGAGCGUCUCUUGUCUGUUUUCACUAUCCCCCAAUCUGUGUGCCCGCUGCCAA
rnacentral:lncRNA from 1 species